CUUUUAUUAUUCCAUUCAGUACUUAACUUCUCUCUAAGCUUUUUCCAUGUCCAGUGUCAAGUUUUGUGGCUACACGCAUUUCCGUCUGGAGUCGACUCUGGUUUAACGUCGUUUUAUCUUAUUCGCGAUGCAGAUCUUCCGUCUACUUUCAAUGGCACGAAGAAAAAGUCAGAAGAAUUAUACGCGUUAUCCUUUAGACAAUAUGAGACGCGUGUGUUAAAUGCAUUGGACGUGCUUAUUGUUUGUUAGACAAAAAAUAUUAUUCAUUUCAAUCGUAUCUUUUUUUUAAUGGGAUAUUACGUAAUAUCGUAUACACUCUGUACGAAUUAAGAUUAAAUCCAUGGGUAGCCAUGUCGACGACCGGUUCGGCAAGUUCAAUGUCGAGUACAUGUAGAAGCGUAUACGAGUGUAUGGACAGUUAUAACAGUUAUACGUAAAGUUAGAUACGUGUGAAAAAAUACAUAAAAGCCAAAAGUUUAUCGACCUUUAGAUAAUCCUACAAACGGAUACCAAUUCGAUGGGAAUACUAUUUGGUUGUGAAACCUUACUUCCGGUCGAUGUAUAGGAGAGUAUACGAAUAUUCGUGUAAUGUAUAUGUUCGGAAUAUUUAUAAAGCAUGAGUGAUCUUAGGGCUGACGUUAAAGUUAAUUUCUUACCAAUUGGGCCAAGUGCGAUUCUAUUUAUUGAAGAAAGUAGGCUAUGCGGAGACAUCGGUUUCCUGCGUUAAGUAUAAAUAUACAAAUCAGCAAAAUGCUAAUGACGGUUUCCUUGCCGCAGGAUUCUAACCUCUCCUUACGUAUUCCAAGCUUGUAAGUCUGUACGUAUUUUUCAGUCAAAUGUUUCGUGUGCUACAAGAAUAUUUGGUACGUUAACCAAUGGCUGUGGGAUAUAUUGACAGUUAUUCGAAGUUGAAAUGUUGUCCGGUAGAAAUUCUUUAUAAAUCCGCGCGAGAAUAGCAAGAAAAAGAUUAAUACAUUGUUGGCAGCAGUUGACAGCGGAAUCUUCCGACUCCAAACUGGAAGAGCAAGUAUAAAGUUAUUGAAUGAUGAUCGUGUAGCUUCGGGUGACGACCGACGCCAACCGAGGGCGUUCGGGACGCAAUGGCGCCGACAUAGAUAUAUCGUAGACGUCGCAUGGUGUCUCGUACGUGAAUGGUGAAGAAUGAAACAGUCUCGAGGGCAGACGCCUAGACGGGAAGAACAUGACAGGUUUGGAAGAAAUGGCACUCUUGGAUAUAUAGUUCUUUCAUCAUGGAUAUUCAGCGAAUGAAGAUGCAAUCUCUCUUGGGAGAUUUUCAUUUCGUUUUAUUACCUCUCACCUAUGCUGUUCCAGCAAUACUCUCAAAUGGCUAUGCACCCUAUACGUUCUACAUUCCUCAGAGUUCAAGUUCGCUCGAGAGUGAGGUCACGUUCUACAAGUUCGAAGUGUCAUUCGAAGAAUCGUACUGAGAAACCGAAGCCUUGUGAAAUGAGAGUUUUACGUCUUGCGGAUUUGCCCUGUCAUACCUCGUCCAUGUGCAAAGGGCGGAUACGAGAGAAUAAUUGAAAAUUAGCAAUUUAAAUUAAUGAAAUCUCUUAAUUACGUAUUGUCAGAAAGUACGAGAAACACGCUUAUACAUGGUUAUAAGAAUUCGAACGUGGGAAUAUAUAGAUUAAUUUAGAGAAAACCUAAGUUUUCUCUUUGUCCAAAAGAAGAGAAAGAAGAAUAAAACUCAGACAAUUAUUUUUCUCCUCUUCAGUUAGAUUUGUCACUUUCUGGCAUCUCGCCAAAUUCUAAUUGGCUGACCUUUGCCAUCUUAUUUUUUUCUCUCUAAGAAUAUCAUCUGACCUUGUUAUCCUAUGCCAAUAAUAUGACUAUUUGAAGAAAUGACCCUGUUGAGAAUCCUGUACUGCGACUCACAAUUUCAAGUCCUGUCUAUAGUAUUCAGGUAUAGAUAUAUUCCUGAUACUCGUAUACCUAUAUAUCACGCGUGCACGUGUAUGCCCAAGAAUACAUAAACGAAGAGUAAGAAUGAAGAGUGCGGUUAAGAUGAGAAAACCUGCUUCUUAGCAGGCAGGCCACCUGUCGACCCGUUAUACCAACUUCGACGUUGGAAUAACUUCGCUUCUUGCGCGAAGAUCUUCGCGAUGCCAGCGCGCCUGUAUUGCGCCAUUGCAGGGAUACGAUUAAGUAUUUUCAUUCAUGCCAACAUUAUGGCCCCUUACAAACAGGUACGAUUGUCAGAAAGAUAAAGAAAAAGAAUUAUUUUUAAUGAUUUUGCAUCAGUAUAUCCAGAUACCAUAUCGUCUUAUUUUUUUGUGUCACGCGGUCACUGGUGCAUAAUGAAAUUUCGAUACUGCGUUCUUAUUUAAAAGGACAUUAAAAUUAUCAAUUGUGAUAUUUAAAAAGGUAACUGAGACGCACUUAACAGGAAUUCAGAGCACUGCCAAUUCGAUGACAACAGGCUGAGAUAAUAUUGUACUUCAAAGAGUAUUACAAAAUACGAUCAGUGUUUUAAACUUGUCGAAACACAUGAUGCAAUUUUUUAAUUUAUUUUACUUCGAGCCAUCGCUACUUUAUAAAAAUAGUAUUAAUUUGUAGUCCGUUAAAAUCGCGUCGUCGGCAGUCGUAAAUAAGAAAUAUAGUAUUUCAUUCUGUAAAACGCAAUAGAUCUGAACAUGUCGAAAUUGAUCUGUCAAAAGUAAAAUUGCGCGUAAUUUGAAUGAUGAUUUUUUACAUCCACGUUUCUUGUUGAAUAUCAUUGUAGCUCUACUGUGUUUUUACUAUGGUUUCAUGCUACAUCUUGCAAGCCAUUUCUCAUUGAUUGGAUAUAGGUACUCUUAAUUAUUCCCAGAGACCUUGUGGGUGGUAUCCAGUUUCCAUGUGGUUGACACAUCCCUGUCACGCGUGAGUCAUCCUCCAGGGACUAUGUUAGACGAUAUCCCAAUAACGUACACUGACCCAGCUGUCCGCAGUACCUUCCUGCACUAUACUGUUGCACCUCCAUUAUAUUUAUAGAAACAUCUGUUGUUUGUCUCUCGUUCGUAAAACGACUGCUUCCUUAAAUCGCAUAAUUAAUCGCGUAUAGACAAUAUUUUCUAAAAGAAGCCACACGGUCGCUUAAGAGACAUUCCCAAGAUCUUUGGGCGCCACACUCUUCUUCGUUAUUUCUUUUUCUUUUAGCCCAAUCCCGGAUAUCAAGUGUUGGAUUUGCUUCUGGUUGUCCCCUUUUUUCGUAGCUUUCAACCUUUUUUUUUUCUCCUAACGAAGUCCGUGAGAUAAAGUGAGUCUGGGGGAAACGGAACGUUAAAAUAUGUAUCAUAUAGGAUACAUCGUAAAUGACCGAUGUGAACAUUCGCUAAUUUAUUAUCUCGACGAUAAAAAUGAUAACGAAAUAACUUCUUCCUUGUAAUACGAUAAUCAAAAUGAUAAAUCUCAUAUCUAAUAGUUUUGCGUAAUUCAAACAAUCAUCAGUUGUUAGAAAUCUUAAUACCUGAAGAUCUUAGAUACAAAAAUAAAUUAUUAACGUCGGCUUGGAAACGUAUGUACUUGUGUAGUUCGCUGAGAUAUACAAAUUCGGACAAGAGAUAAAUUACAUAUGUAAAAAAUGUCAAAUUCACAUGUGAAUCCUUAGUAGAGUAUUGCAACCAAAAAGUGCACUUUCAUGAUGUCUAUCUGUAUAUACGCACAGAUGUAUAGAACAUCUACAUGGGGAUCGAUGAGAGACGUCUGCAGUCUGCACCACGCCCAACCUGGGGGGGUUGACCCACCAUGACUCACGCCAUGGAAAGUAGAUAUUCCAUGGGAUCCAACCCCCAUAGAAAACCAUUCCAUUAACAGAAAAGUUGUAGUAGUAGGAGUAGUAGUAAUAAUAAUAUUAGUAGCAGUAGUAGUAGUAGUAGUCAGGCCAAUGAUUGUAGCGCGUGUAGUAUAUCGUGACUCGUGCAGUGUUAUGUGUAUGGAUGAAUAUCUAUAUACUGCAACACAUAUGUACUCCCACACAAUAGGUUCAGAAAGUGGGAGAAAAAAUUAGAGACCAUAAGGGUGAGAUUUCAGACGGGGCCGAUUAAAGGUUAGGUUCGUUCGAGUUGGGUUAGGUCAGAUUAUAUAGGCUUGCGCUAUAAAAUUAUAUAGGAGAAUCAGAUGAUUUUGAAAAUUUUUACAAAAGGAAAUCACGACCGAAGUCCAGCAGCAUUAUUCGUCUUUACCGUACACGUGCCAGAUGAAGCGAUAGAGUUAGAAUCCGGAAUUUCUUAUUUUUUUCUGCUUAUUUCCGAAAUUCAAAUACCUUUCGUAGCAACGGUUCCUCGUGAACUAUUGCACGUCCGUUAUUCGCGAAACGGUUUCGCAUAACAAAUUAAUAGAAUUCAUAUUACUAAUUGCUCGCGGAGCCCGCAAUGCGCUUGUUAGCGCACAUGUAACCAUACCAGUUUAAAUUGGCUGCUAUAGCGCAGUCGCUGGGACAGGACCCAAUUUUCUGUUGGGUUCAAGUACCUGCGUAUCUGCAAGUCGAAAAAAUAACGAGACUCAAAGUCGAGGAAGCUUCUAACCUGAAAUAAGACAGAAGAGAAAUAUCAUUUCCCGAUACACUUUUCGAUUAAACCUAACCUCUUUUAAUCGUCAGUAAUCUGUAUUCCUAAAUAUGAUAACAGCAAUGAAUAACGAAUAAUAAUUGACACCUGAAAGUAUUCCAUAUAAGUAUUCAAUUCCUGAUAAGAUAAACAGUUGUGGAUAAAUUCGAAACUUCUACUAUCUUAAUCCUACUACUUGACCACGUGGCGUUAGUUAUCGUUGGUACAAGGCCAGUAAUACCAAAAUCGCUUACGUGUCUAUAGAAUCAAUUUCAAUUUCUUCUAAGACCCGUCAAAAAAAAGGGAAACAAUUUGAAAAGUGUACGUCCAUCGAUUUUGACAAUGAGGUGAUUUUAAACAAGGUCACGAAUACAAAAUGGCCCCGACCAUGCUCAUGGAUGCGCCCUUCUAUCGGUGCGUCUGUCGGUCUUUGAUAGCUGGAGAAAUUGGCUGUGCCAAAGUCAUUGACUUCGUGGCUUGGUUUAAUUGACUUGGUAGCGCGGUAGUCAGCCAGUCAGGCAGGCGGGCAACAGAAGAGGCAGUGACUAGCAACGAGAGAUCUUUUCACAGCGUGCGAAUCAAGGCCACUGGCGUGAAUGUACGCGGGAUAUGGAUGUAUACAGUCUCACAAUCAGGGAUAUACAGGGACGUCUACCUGCGCUCGUGCAUAUUUCAUACGUAUACGAAAUACGAUAUCCUCGCGACGAUAUAUAUAUAUAUAUAUAUAUAUAUGUAUACAUACAUAGGUAAGGUACACUGUCUCCCAACUGCAAAUUUUAACGUGGUUGCCACGUAGAGACAACGUCUUGUCUCGGUAGAGAAAUACGAACGUUUUGAUAUUUGAUUUCUUGUAAGCAACGCGCAUACAUACUGCAGAUACUGUGAAGUGGAAGAGGACUGAUUUUGUAUCCAGAGUCACUUGGUAAUCUUUGGUGUCGACCACGAGAACAGGACACCGGACUUUAUCUUGCGGAUGCGUGUAUCCUACGCUAGAUAAAGGAUUUCCAGUUUGUUCGCUAUAUCAUGCGGUUUUCGUUCAAUACUUGUCCUCAUAUAUUUCCUGAAAUCUAUAUGCUUCUUGUACGAGAACCUUUACGCACCGUGUGUGUAUACCCUUAUAUCAGGCGGGGAGGAUAAUUACAUAUGCACAGCUGAUGUAUGAAGAUACGUGUAGAUACGUCUAUUUCUAAAAGCAAGUUCAAAGAGAGUAAGAGUGCAGAGGUGGAUUUAAAAGACUAAGGUAAAAGAGAACAUUUAAAAUAUUAUUUCUAAAGUGUCCUUUCUAAAGGGGCCACUUGUACAGAUUAGAUAUGUUAAAUCUCCUUGGUUAUACAUACGUGUUUGUAUCUAUAGUGCAUUCGUAUUAAGGUAGUCCCAAGUAGCUAUAGCCUAGCCAAAUAAAGAUACGUGGUGAGAAUCUUACCAUAUAAGAAUACGUGUCAUGGCUCCUAUAUAUGUACUAUAUGUGCUAGUCAGAGUAUAUCAUAUCGUCCGAAUAUUCUUAAGGUUAAUUCUUAGCGAGAAACUGAAUGGAUCUAAUGGUUUAUAUAUACAAGAUGAAAUUAGUAAAUGAUCGUGAAUAGGAGAAAGAAUACAUUUUUUUUUAUAUCUGCUAAUGGAUGGAACAUGGAAGUGAACUUACUUUUCGAUUUUUUAAGAUAUGUCUAGACUGUUGCAAAGAUAUCAUUGAAUGACGAGAAUAAAUGAGGACACUUUGGUAUCCGAUCAAUACAUUAUACGAAACAUAUGCGACAAAUAAACUUUAAA